rnacentral:rRNA from 1 species
AUUGAACGCUGGCGGCAGGCCUAACACAUGCAAGUCGAACGGUAACAGGAAGAAGCUUGCUUCUUUGCUGACGAGUGGCGGACGGGUGAGUAAUGUCUGGGAAACUGCCUGAUGGAGGGGGAUAACUACUGGAAACGGUAGCUAAUACCGCAUAACGUCGCAAGACCAAAAAGGGGGACCUUCGGGCCUCUUGCCAUCGGAUGUGCCCAGAUGGGAUUAGCUAGUAGGUGGGGUAACGGCUCACCUAGGCGACGAUCCCUAGCUGGUCUGAGAGGAUGACCAGCCACACUGGAACUGAGACACGGUCCAGACUCCUACGGGAGGCAGCAGUGGGUAAUAUUGCACAAUGGGCGCAAGCCUGAUGCAGCCAUGCCGCGUGUAUGAAGAAGGCCUUCGGGUUGUAAAGUACUUUCAGCGGGGAGGAAGGGAGUAAAGUUAAUACCUUUGCUCAUUGACGUUACCCGCAGAAGAAGCACCGGCUAACUCCGUG